GAUGAAGAACGCAGCAAAAUGCGAUACUUGGUGUGAAUUGCAGAAUCCCGUGAACCAUCGAGUUUUUGAACGCAAGUUGCGCCCGAAGCCUUUUGGCCGAGGGCACGUCUGCCUGGGCGUCACGCAUCGCGUCGCCCCCCACAAUUCUCCGUAAAGGGAACGUGUGUUUUGGGGGCGGAUAUUGGUCUCCCGUGCUCAUGGCGUGGUUGGCCGAAAUAGGAGUCCUUUCGAUGGACGCACGAACUAGUGGUGGUCGUAAAAACCCUCGUCUUUUGUUUCGUGCUGUUGCUCGCAAGGUAAACUCUUUAAAAACCUCAAUGUGUCGUCUCUUGACGACGCUUCGACCGCGACCCCAGGUCAGGCGGGACUACCCGCUGAGUUUAAGCAUAUCAAUAAGCGGAGGA
rnacentral:misc_RNA from 1 species